rnacentral:lncRNA from 1 species
AAUUGCUGGGCCUAUUAUAGCUGAGUAUGUGAAAUUGGCUUUGCUCAUUGUUGAAGCCCAUACAGUUACCUAUAGCUGUUAAUUUCUGUAUCAUUUGAUCUCCUGUCUCAUUGGCAAUCAUACCGCAUUUUUUUUCUAUAGGUAUAUUCUUUUUUCUUGAAGUUUAAUUCAUUUUAACUCAUUACUAUUACAAUCUACGAAUUAUACAUUUGUAAAAGACAUCCUUCACUAUAUAUAAUAUUAUCAAGAUAUCCAAGAUACACUGCAUUUUAUAUUUAUUAUAGAAUAUUUUAUAUAAAGGUAGGCAUUUAUUAUUGUUUCAUUUAUAUACCUC